rnacentral:rRNA from 1 species
UACGAAGGGGGCUAGCGUUGCUCGGAAUUACUGGGCGUAAAGCGCACGUAGGCGGAUUGUUAAGUCGGGGGUGAAAUCCUGGAGCUCAACUCCAGAACUGCCUUCGAUACUGGCGAUCUCGAGUUCGGGAGAGGUGAGUGGAACUGCGAGUGUAAGAGGUGAAAUUCGUAGAUAUUCGCAAGAACACCAGUGGCGAAGGCGGCUCACUGGCCCGAUACUGACGCUGAGGUGCGAAAGCGUGGGGAGCAACAGGG